rnacentral:rRNA from 1 species
UAGGGAAUUUUCGUUCAAUGGGCGCAAGCCUGAACGAGCAAUGCCGCGUGAACGAGGAAGGUCUUCGGAUCGUAAAGUUCUGUUGAAGGGGAAAAAGAGCGGAGAGAGGAAAUGCUUUCUGAUUGAUAUUACCCUUCGAGGAAGUCACGGCUAACUACGUGCC